rnacentral:guide_RNA from 1 species
AAACAUAUAAGGUAGAUAGAAAAUGAGAGUGAGUUUGUAACU